rnacentral:rRNA from 1 species
CUUGGCGACCAUAGCGUUUUGGACCCACCUGAYUUCCAUGCCGAACUCAGAAGUGAAACGAAAUAGCGYCGAUGGUAGUGUGGGGCUUCCCCAUGUGAGAGUAGAACAUCGCCAGGC